GAUGAACGCUGGCGGCGUGCCUAAUACAUGCAAGUCGAGCGAAGCGGGGACGGGUGAGUAACACGUGGAGAACACCCUAUAAGACGGGGAUAACUUCGGGGAACCGGAGGUAAUCCGGAUACUUAUAGAUGGUGCGACGCUGCAGUAGCUGGUUGGGAAGGUAACGGCUUACCAAGGCAACGAUGCAUAGCCGACCUGAGAGGGUGAUCGGCCACACUGGAACUGAGACACGGUCCAGACUCCUACGGGAGGCAGCAGUAGGGAAUAUUCCGCAAUGGGCGAAAGCCUGACGGAGCCACGCCGCGUGUAUGAUGAAGGUCUUCGGAUCGUAAAACUCUGUUAUUAGGGAAGCGGUACCUAAUCAGAAAGCCACGGCUAACUACGUGCCAGCAGCCGCGGUAAUUC
rnacentral:rRNA from 1 species